rnacentral:rRNA from 1 species
UGCUGCAUGGCUGUCGUCAGCUCGUGUCGUGAGAUGUGGUUAAGUCCGCAACGAGCGCAACCCUUGUCUUUAGUUGCCAUCAUUCAGUUGGGCACUCUAAAGAGACUGCCGGUGUCAAACCGGAGGAAGGUGGGGAUGACGUCAAGUCCUCAUGGCCUUUAUGACCAGGGCUACACACGUACUACAAUGGCCGGUACAAAGGGCAGCCACUUAGCGAUGAGGAGCCAAUCCCGUAAAGCCGGUCUCAGUCCGGAUUGGAGUCUGCAACUCGACUCCAUGAAGUUGGAAUCGCUAGUAAUCGCAGAUCAGCACGCUGCGGUGAAUACGUUCCCGGGCCUU